UCUCCUUCAGCAAAGCAAACUGGGCUGGAUUGCAGCUGUGCUUUGGUUCCUGUCUGUGUUAACAUGUAGCACAUGCUGCUCAGACAGAGUUCUGCUGCCCUGGGUUGAUGGAGAAGGUGACCCGUGGCAGCCAGGCUGCAGAGCAGUGUGUCAGUGCCAGGAAGCUGUGUGGGGCACCACAUGGGAUCAGGAAGUUCUCCCCAUAAGCAGUGCAGACUGACCUGUCCUGUGGCAGCAGGUGGAGAGAAAGGUCCCUCAGACUCCAGUCCUGGGGCAGUGAGGUCCUGUGGAGCUGGUGACAGCCUGGGAGAAGGAGCAAGGCUCCUGUUCCACCCAGGAGAGCCCUUUGCAGGGGAGCAUCUUCCUUCCAGCCCUGCCAGUGUGAGAGCAGCCUCAGUGGAGGGGCAGGAAGAGCAAGUGCUGGGUCUCCAGCUGUACCCAAGGUUUUUCUGUGUGGGGACAUGCCAGGGGACGUGCUGGGUGCUGCUGGGACCCUUCUGCCCCAGAGGGAUGAGUGAGGGAGGGAACUGCAAUCCAGCAGUUCUUGGUCAGCUCCAGAGCUGGCUGUGAGCCUUGUCCCGUGUGCUGUGUAGGGGCAGAGCUGGAGGAAGUGUUGCUGGGGCUGUGUGAGGGCAGCUACAGCAGAUUUGGGAGGAAAAGGGAGGAGUUGAGAGCCUGGAGACCUCUUGUAUAGACAGCACUAGCUGCUCUCCACCAUCCUUCCCUGCAACAAGAGGGGGCAGGUGAUGGAUGAGUGAACCUGGCAUGUCUGUCCCUCUCCCCACAUCCCAAACCAAAGCUCAGAGCCUGCAGCUUGAGCUGGAGCAGUGUCCAGCAAGCCAGGGCAUCAUCCAGGCUUGAGGAGCACACAGUUCUUUAUUUCCAGGAGGGAAGCUUAACUCUCCUGCUCGCAGGAAACUCACAAGUCCUGUGUGGAAUUCACACUCACAGAAACAUUCCUGGAAGCCAUGCAAACCUCUGCUCCUUGCUGAAGGUCCCAUGGCCAGGCAGACACCUUUCUCUGGUCGCUCCACUUGGAUCCAGGGGUGUGCUUGGACGUUUUUGCUCGGGAGGACUUCAGCCACAUCCUUCCUCCAGAAGGGAGCACAGAGGGAUUUUUGUAUGCUGGGCUUCUCACAGGCUUAGACUUGGAGAAAAGAGAAGCAGCAGCAGCUCUGGGGAUAAUCCAGAUUUUAAAGAAAAUUUGAAAAUCACACAUAUGGUGACUUCCAGACCAAGGACUGCACCGGCGCUGGAUCGGGAUCGUGUCUCGGUCCCGCCUGUGCAGCUGGGGAGGCAGGAGGAGGCUGCAGCCCCUGAAGCUCUCACACACAGCAGUGCAAGCCCCAGGACCUGCCCAGCACACAGUGAACUCUCCUCUCCUGCUGGUUGCUCAAAACUCAGGUAUGAAAUGCCCAGCUGGAGCAGGGGGUGCGAGGUUUCCCGGCAGCCCUGGAGGAGCGGCCGCCGCUGGGCACAGCCCCCUGUGCACCCCGGGCUCCUCCAGGCCUUUGGAGGGAGUUCCACCUCUCUGGUACAACAUUGGCUACGUGGACGUUACACAAACUCUGCACAUUGGUUCAGUCUACGCUUAGUAUUUGUGAAUUAAGUUAUCUGAUGCUUCGCAUGAAAACUUCAAAAAAGGGGCUCGGGGGGGUUGGAUUUUAACUGAGAAAAAGCCUAUGAAAAUAUACUGGAAAUAUGGUAAAGAAAUCGACAUUCUGCUGUAUAUUGACAGAAUUAUUUUUAUUAAAAUACACAUCCAUGUGCAAGA